rnacentral:rRNA from 1 species
UGGUGAAUAUUGCACAAUGGGGGAAACCCUGAUGCAGCGACGCCGCGUGAACGAAGAAGGUAUUCGUAUCGUAAAGUUCUGUCCUAUGGGAAGAUAAUGACAGUACCAUAGAAGAAAGCUCCGGCUAAAUACGUGCCAGCAGCCGCGGUAAUACGUAUGGAGCGAGCGUUGUCCGGAAUUAUUGGGCGUAAAGGGUACGCAGGCGGUUUAAUAAGUCGAAUGUUAAAGAUCGGGGCUCAACCCCGCAAAGCAUUGGAAACUGAUAAACUUGAGUAGUGGAGAGGAAAGUGGAAUUCCUAGUGUAGUGGUGAAAUACGUAGAUAUUAGGAGGAAUACCAGUAGCGAAGGCGACUUUCUGGACACAAACUGACGCUGAGGUACGAAAGCGUGGGGAGCAAACAGG